GGUUUGGCAUGUGUCAAAGAAAAAAUAAUUUGUAGCUCUAUGGCACUUGUCAGUCAAUUUAAUUACAAAAGUCUAAAAAAUAUAUGUCCAUCGGAUGUUGAAAUAAUAUGUCGCAAUAGCGAGGACAGCAGCAUUGUGUGUGGACCCUCAAAAUCCGUACAAGAAUUUAUGAAAAAAUUACAGCUUAAUAAUAUUCAUGUGAAAGAGAUUUACUGCAACGUACCGUACCACAGUUCUUAUCUCAUGUUCGUGAAAAAUCAACUUUUGCUGAAUUUGAGUAAAAUAAUUCCACGGCCGAAGAAUCGGAGUUCAAAGUGGAUCAGCUCUUCCGUAUCUUGUACCGAACGGUAUACUUCAGCAUCAAACUUGUCAUCAGCAGAGUAUCAUACGCGUAGUAUAUUAAAUACCGUCCUCUUUGAACAAACCAUGCCUUUAAUUCCAACCAAUGCUGUGACUAUUAAAAUUGCACUAGACAGCGUUUUGCAACACAUUUUGAAAAAAUCCUUGCAUCCGAAAGUGGAGAACAUUGUAUUGAAUCGACGCAAUGAACAAAAUAUCGAAGUAAUUUUACAAGGAAUUGGGAAGCUCUAUAACUGUGGUUUACAACUGCAAGUCGCAAAUAUAUAUCCACCAGUGGAAUUUCCAGUUAGUCGAGGAACUCCUAUGAUUUCUCCAUCAAUCAGAUGGGAUCAUUCCAAAGCCUGGUUUACACCAACAUGUCACCUACAAAAGUAUAUUAAAUCCAGAGAAAGAUACAUUAAAAUCUCGUUUGACAAAAUGGACCACGGUUAUAUGAAAGGACAUGUAAUAGAUGGAAGGAAUUUACUACCAGCGACCGGUUAUAUUGAACUCGUUUGGCAAACUAUCGGCAUGAUAAAAAAGAAAACAUAUAUAACAAUGCCAAUAAUAUUCCAAGAUAUAAGCUUUAUUCGUGCUACUCAUUUAUUGCCAAAUAAAUCUACAAACUUAACAAUUACGAUACAGAAAGAUGGGAAGUUUGAAAUCACCGAAAGAGAAAGCGUUGUAGUGACAGGAACUGUGAACGAAACAUUGAAUCCUGAAAAGGAAAUGACAUCGACAGAUAUAUUAUCAGAUAAUAACGAAGAAGAACAGAUGACUGCUAGAGAUAUCUACAAAAAGUUAAAUUUGCGCGGUUAUCAGUAUAGCGACUUGUUUCGUGGAUUACACAGUGCAUCUGUUACAGGAAACAAAGGACAUGUUGCUUGGAAAAAUAAUUGGACAACAUUUAUGGAUACAAUGCUACAAAUGCAUAUUAUGGGAAAUGAUGGUAGAAAUUUGUAUGUUCCUACAAGUAUACAAAAACUAAUAAUUAAUCCCAAGCUUCAUGCUUGGAAGUUACAAGAUAAUAAAAAUGUCGUAAACGCUACAACUGAAGAUAAUGAUACCUUAUUACCGAUACGAAUAUACAGGGAGAUCGACACAAUUAUAUCUGGCGGAAUAGAGAUUCAAGGCCUUAAAGCCACUCAGAUUUCUAAACGAAAAUUAGUCCAAGAAGCUGUUAUUGAGGAACACAUAUUUGUAGCGCAUCAUGAUUGCGCAAAGAUUUCUUUAAAUGAAGCAAUUCGAAUAUCGGCGCAACUUGUAUUGGAAGAUCAUCAAAUUACUAAAGUUAAAGCUAUCGAGUUAAUAGAAGAAGUUGAUGAAGUUGUAUCAGAACAGCUCUCAUCUUUGAUGUUGCUUGAAGCUUUUAGUGACAUACCAUUAAUACAAGCAAAUAUCACUCUGUUAACAACAUCCAGUCGUUUCAGUUCAGCAAAAUUAUCAGAAAAUAUUUUAAUUGCCGAUUUAAAUAAAACAUCUGUGAAUGAUAAAGUCUUAAUAGUUACCGGAUUUAAUCUUCUAACUAAAGAAAAAACUUCUUUAGAACAACUUUUGCCAUUCUUGAGAGAAGAUGGUUAUCUAUUGACGCGUGAAAAAUGCAAUAUACAUGACUAUAACAAAUAUAAGGAACAAUACAAAUUAAAUGUUAUUUUAGAAAAACGCACUGAUGAAGAAAUGAUUGUUCUUAUGAAGAAGGAAGUUAAGAUAGAAAAAAAUAUGGUUAUUUACAUAAAUAAUGAUAACUUUAACUGGUUGGAUAAUUUAAAGCUGCUUGUGAACGGUGAGAACAAACUCGAUAAGAAAAGUAGAAUAAUACUUGUUGGAGAGGGAGAUUUUGAGUGUGGUUUGUUGGGUUUUGUUAACUGCUUGAGAAAAGAACCAGAUGGAAAACUUGUUAGGGGUGUGCUUAUUCAAGACAAGAAUGCUUCUAAAUUUUCUCUUCAAGAUCCCUUUUAUGUGCAGCAAUUGCAAAAAGAUAUGACUAUUAAUGUAUUACAAUCUAACAAAACUUGGGGAUCGUACCGACAUUUGCGACUGCCACGACCGGAAGCGAAUCCUGUACCUUCCGCUCACAUUUGCCAAAUGGUACGUGGUGACUUGAGUACAUUUCAAUGGACAGAAAACAAUGUUUCCGUCGAACUUCAUCGUGAAAAUUUGAUACGUGUCGUUUAUGCAUCUCUCAAUUUCAAAGACUUAAUGUUGGCCACUGGUAAAUUAAAACCUAAUGAGGCUAUUGCGCGAGAAAGAUUAUUUCAACAUAUUCCUCUUGGUUUGGAAUACGUCGGAUUUGAUGACAACGGAAAUCGUGUAAUGGGAUUGCGUGAUACCGAUUGUAUAGCAAACAUUGUUGUAAAAGAUAAAGAUUUGUGUUGGAAAAUACCCGAUGCGUGAACAUUCGAAGAGGCUGCGACAGUCCCAUGCAUUUACAGCACGUCCUACAUGGCAUUAUACAUUUAUGGCAAAAUGAAAAAAGGCAAUAAAAUACUUAUACAUUCUGGUACUGGUGGCAUUGGACAGGCAGCUAUUCACCUUGCUCUCAAGGAAGGCUGCGAGGUGUUCACUACUGUGGGCACGAAUGACAAACGUAACUUUAUUAAGGAAAUAUUUCCGACUAUUUUGGAUGAUCAUAUUGGUAAUUCUCGAGAUACUAGUUUCGAACAAAUGAUAAUGCGGCAAACGAACGGUCGCGGUGUCGACAUCGUGUUGAAUUCAUUGGCGGAAGAAAAGUUAAUCGCGUCCGUUCGUUGUUUGGCACAAAACGGUCGUUUUCUGGAAAUUGGCAAAUUCGAUCUUAUUUCUAAUAAUCCUUUAAGUAUUUCCGCAUUUAAGAAAAAUAUUAGCUUUCAUGGGGUUCUACUCGAUACUAUAAUGUGUACUGGCGAUCCUAAGUAUAAGUCGCUAAUGUCCAAAAUGGUAACUGAUGGUUUGAAAAAUGAGACCAUUAAACCAAUUCAAGCAAAAAUUUUUUUGAAAACAGAAAUUGAACAAGCUUUUAGAUACAUGGCAAGUGGAAAACACAUGGGCAAGAUUAUUAUACGUAUCCAAGAUAAGUGUAAAUCUACCAAUGAGUCUAUUAUCGCAUAUCGUCGCUAUUAUUGUCUGAAAGACAAAAGUUAUAUUAUAGUAGGAGGUCUGGGUGGAUUUGGAUUGGAACUAACCGAUUGGCUAGUACUUCGAGGUGCCAGAAACAUCAUUUUGAUUUCUCGUACUGGAAUAAAAACUGGUUACCAACAAAUGAAAGUUCGACUGUGAAAAAAGUAUGGUGUAAAUGUACUAAUCGUCAAGAAUAUCGAUGUCGCUGACCCUAAGGAUUGCGAGUAUUUGUUGCGAACCGCGGAAAGAGAAGCACCGGUGGAUGCAAUAUACAAUCUAGCUGUUGUACUGAAGGAUGGUAUUUUAACGAAUCAAACCGCAGAGACAUUUGUUGAGUCCUUUCGAUCAAAAGCUCGAGCGACGCAAACUUUGGACAAACUUUCGAGAAAAAUCUGCCCUAAACUGCGACACUUUGUAGUGUUCUCUUCCGUUUCCUGCGGCAGAGGGAACGCUGGACAGACUAACUAUGGCAUGGCGAAUUCCGUCAUGGAGAGAGUGUGCGAAAAAAGGGCGAAAGAAGGAUUACCUGGAUUAGCAAUUCAGUGGGGAGCUGUAGGUGACGUGGGUCUUGUUGCAGACAUGCAGGAGGACGAUAAGGAACUGGUCAUUGGUGGUACCUUACAACAAAAGAUAUCCUCCUGUCUCGAUGAGCUCGAUAAGUUUUUACUUCAAAGUCGACCGAUUGUGAGCAGCAUGGUGGUAGCUGAAAAGAAAGUGGGACCUUCUAGAUAUAAAAGUCCGAUAGAAACUGUUACCAGUAUUUUAAGAAUGGACUCUAUGACGACCGUGGAAAUCAUACAAAGAUUAGAACGUGAUUUUGACAUUUUUCUCACUACGCAAGAAAUACGAAAUCUUACUUUUGCGAAACUCAAUAAGAUGUCCAAUACAAACUUUAGUGACGAUGACAAGCAAGAUAAAAAAAGUCUUGAUGCAGAAGAUUCAUAUGAAAUAAAAUUUGUAACUAAUGUUUUAAGAGACGAAGAUUUUACUCCAGUGACCUAUUUCGAUUCUUCGACUGAAAGACAGAGUACUAUGACUGAAGUUUUUAUUAUACCUGCACAUAUUACCAAAGUUAAAAAAUGGAAAAGAUUUUGUAAUGGUAGGGUACUCUUCUGGAUCUAUACUUGCAAUCGAAAUAACAAGAAGGUUGGAAGCUAUGAAUAUUAA